rnacentral:rRNA from 1 species
UACGUAGGGUGCGAGCGUUUGUCCGGAAUUAUUGGGCGUAAAGAGCUCGUAGGCGGUGUGUCACGUCGGCCGUGAAAACCUGCAGCUUAACUGUGGGCGUGCGGUCGAUACGGGCAUCACUGGAGUUCGGCAGGGGAGACUGGAAUUCCUGGUGUAGCGGUGAAAUGCGCAGAUAUCAGGAGGAACACCGGUGGCGAAGGCGGGUCUCUGGGCCGAUACUGACGCUGGAGGAGCGAAAGCGUGGGGAGCAAACAGG